GGGCGUGUGUGUGUGCAUUUGUGUGUGUGUGUGUGUGUGUGUGUGUGUCUCCUCCCUCUCCCGCACAUGCACACAC
rnacentral:miRNA from 1 species